AUUGAACGCUGGCGGCAGGCCUAACACAUGCAAGUCGAGCGGAUGAAGAGAGCUUGCUCUCUGAUUUAGCGGCGGACGGGUGAGUAAUGCCUAGGAAUCUGCCUGGUAGUGGGGGAUAACGUUCCGAAAGGAACGCUAAUACCGCAUACGUCCUACGGGAGAAAGCAGGGGACCUUCGGGCCUUGCGCUAUCAGAUGAGCCUAGGUCGGAUUAGCUAGUUGGUGAGGUAAUGGCUCACCAAGGCGACGAUCCGUAACUGGUCUGAGAGGAUGAUCAGUCACACUGGAACUGAGACACGGGCCAAACUCCUACGGGAGGCAGCAGUGGGGAAUAUUGGACAAUGGGCGAAAGCCUGAUCCAGCCAUGCCGCGUGUGUGAAGAAGGUCUUCGGAUUGUAAAGCACUUUAAGUUGGGAGGAAGGGCAGUAAGUUAAUACCUUGCUGUUUUGACGUUACCGACAGAAUAAGCACCGGCUAACUUCGUGCCAGCCGCCGCGGUAACAC
rnacentral:rRNA from 1 species